ensembl:snRNA U6 U6 spliceosomal RNA
GUGCUCACUUUGACAGCACAUAUAUUAAAAUUGGAAUGAGACAUAGAUAUUAGCCUGGCUCCUGCAUGCAAAUGAUACUCAAAUUCAUGAAAAUAACAUGUUUAAU